rnacentral:rRNA from 1 species
UACGAAGGGGCUAGCGUUGCUCGGAAUCACUGGGCGUAAAGGGUGCGUAGGCGGGUCUUUAAGUCAGGGGUGAAAUCCCAGAGCUCAACUCUGGAACUGCCUUUGAUACUGGCAAGCUAGAGUCCGGAAGAGGUAAGUGGAACUCCUAGGUGUAGAGGUGGAAUUCGUAGAUAUUAGGAAGAACACCAGUGGCGAAGGCGGCUUACUGGUCCGGAACUGACGCUGAGGUGCGAAAGCGUGGGGAGCAAACAGG